rnacentral:rRNA from 1 species
AUUGAACGCUGGCGGCAGGCCUAACAUUUGCAAGUCGAGCGGUAGAGAGAAGCUUGCUUCUCUUGAGAGCGGCGGACGGGUGAGUAAUGCCUAGGAAUCUGCCUGGUAGUGGGGGAUAACGUUCGGAAACGGACGCUAAUACCGCAUACGUCCUACGGGAGAAAGCAGGGGACCUUCGGGCCUUGCGCUAUCAGAUGAGCCUAGGUCGGAUUAGCUAGUUGGUGAGGUAAUGGCUCACCAAGGCGACGAUCCGUAACUGGUCUGAGAGGAUGAUCAGUCACACUGGAACUGAGACACGGUCCAGACUCCUACGGGAGGCAGCAGUGGGGAAUAUUGGACAAUGGGCGAAAGCCUGAUCCAGCCAUGCCGCGUGUGUGAAGAAGGUCUUCGGAUUGUAAAGCACUUUAAGUUGGGAGGAAGGGCAGUAAAUUAAUACUUUGCUGUUUUGACGUUACCGACAGAAUAAGCACCGGGUAACUCUGUGCCAGCAGCCGCGGUAAUACAGAGGGUGCAAGCGUUAAUCGGAAUUACUGGGCGUAAAGCGCGCGUAGGUGGUUUGUUAAGUUGGAUGUGAAAUCCCCGGGGCUCAACCGGGGAAACUGCUUUCAAACUGACUGGAUAGAAUAUUGGUAAAGGGGGGGGGGAAUUUCCCUUGGAAGCGGGAAAAUGGGUUGGAUAUGGGAAGGGACCCCCAGGGGCGAAGGGGACCCCCCCGGACUAAUACUGGACAUGAGGGGGGAAAAGGGUGGGGGAGCAAACCGGAUUAGAAUCCCUUGGUAGUCCCCCCCCGUAAAGAUGUCAAACUAGCCGUUGGAAGCCUUGGAGCUUUAAGGGGCGCAGCUAACGGCAUUAAGUUGACCCCCCUGGGGAGUACGGCCGCAAAGGUUAAAACUCAAAAGAAUUGGCGGGGGGCCCCGCACAAGCGGUGGAGCAUGUGGUUUAAUUCGAAGCAACGCGAAGAACCUUACCAGGCCUUGACAUCCAAUGAACUUUCUAGAGAUAGAUUGGUGCCUUCGGGAACAUUGAGACAGGUGCUGCAUGGCUGUCGUCAGCUCGUGUCGUGAGAUGUUGGGUUAAGUCCCGUAACGAGCGCAACCCUUGUCCUUAGUUACCAGCACGUCAUGGUGGGCACUCUAAGGAGACUGCCGGUGACAAACCGGAGGAAGGUGGGGAUGACGUCAAGUCAUCAUGGCCCUUACGGCCUGGGCUACACACGUGCUACAAUGGUCGGUACAGAGGGUUGCCAAGCCGCGAGGUGGAGCUAAUCCCACAAAACCGAUCGUAGUCCGGAUCGCAGUCUGCAACUCGACUGCGUGAAGUCGGAAUCGCUAGUAAUCGCGAAUCAGAAUGUCGCGGUGAAUACGUUCCCGGGCCU